UACGGAGGAUGCAAGCGUUAUCCGGAUUUAUUGGGUUUAAAGGGUGCGCAGGCGGGCUGUUAAGUCAGCGGUGAAAUGUCCCGGCUCAACCGGGGCACUGCCGUUGAUACUGGCAGCCUAGAGUACAGACGGCGCCGGCGGAAUGUGUCAUGUAGCGGUGAAAUGCUUAGAUAUGCCACAGAACACCGAUCGCGAAGGCAGCUGGCGAGGCUGGGACUGACGCUCAGGCACGAAAGCGUGGGGAU
rnacentral:rRNA from 1 species